rnacentral:lncRNA from 1 species
UUUGGGUCCUUUCAGUUUUGCACAUGGAAGAAGAAGGUCGUUUGCAAAUAGAUGCGAGGGUUGAUUUUGCUUCUUAUCGAAGGAAUCAUCGAUUGUUUAUACUUGCUGAUGUUUAAUAUAUGGACUUAAUUAUUCUAUGCGCAUUUAGAUAUUGUGAGAGAAUACUUAAAUAGUAUUUUGAGAUUUUUGUUGAGUGAUUUAAAUCUGUAAGUUAUGCAGUUUAUAUAGCAGGGAGGUAGGCUGGUAUUAUUUGCUUAUUUUUAAUAUAGUUGUAUUUAUUGUACGGAUAUAUCUGUGUAAUUACCGAAGGAUUUAAACAUUAAAUUGAUUAAUAGCUUUUCUAUUAUACUUUGCAGUUAUCAUAAUGACUAUUUGUUUUGUGACCUGCUACAAUUUAAUCCUGGAGUGUUGAGGUGUUUAUUUGUGUGUUACUGGAAGGUGUACACUUAAACGAGAGGUAAAAGAGCAGGUCGAUAUCCGAAGACAACGUCAAAAACCCAAGGAGUUCCGCAACACAGUCCAGAUGGUACAGCCACACCGCAACGCUACCCAGCCGUUUCAGCCCCGCAACCGGUGAAUCUGAACCCGCAACAACUUGUGGUUGUGGUGAGCCUUGUUGCAGAACACCAUUGUUCCGUGUUUGCGCAGCGAAGGGGCAUUUUGGCUGAUGAUUCGCUGCACUGUCAGACAGUGUUGAAUAAAAUGGCAUUACAGUUUUCAGCAGUAAUUUCCCUGACCAUUUUGAUUUUUAAGGAUAUGUGAGCUUGUACACACGAACUAAAACUCCUCGAAUAUAAGUGCUAAAGGUCACGCAUUAUGUGAGGGAGACGUUAGUAUUGUAAGUAUUGGUGUACUUCGCAUAAUUCUUCAUUCAUCAAAGGACGAUCAGAAAAAAGGCGAAGGAGUAGCUAUUUAUUUACAACCUUACACAUUGUUCUACUUGACCCCUGGAUUUAAUAGAGAGAUAUAUGGUUGUUCGACCAUCUAGUGCUUCAAACUAGUUAUUUGUUUGUUUAUUUAAACGGUCUACCCGUCAUACGCUGUCAGUUUAGUGUGUUCUAAAGAAAUCUUUGACUGCCAUUCCAUAUAAACCACAUUUAUUUAGAGUAGGUGCUGCAACAGCAGCAUGACUGCUUACGAUAUUACAAGAAUGGGGCGUUGCGCCCCGGAUUCAAGUGCACUUAAAUCUUACAUUAGAAUCCUCUCACGUCAGCUGUUGUCACUCAGAUCUUAAGCCUAUAAGCAGUUUCUUUGUACCUGCCAUAUGUUGCCCUUUUUUGUUGACAAUUGUUUUCAGCUUUUCAGUGCGUCCUACCCAUAUUUGGAUAGUUGGAUGUUCAAUUAUAAAGUCGGUAUUUCGUUACGACAAGGAAUCAGCUGAGGGUUCUCAACUUGUAAUGCAGCGUCAUAAUGCGACCAUACUGUGUCAGAGUCAGGAUGUUUUGCACAUGGAAGAAGAAGGUCGUUUGCAAAUAGAUGCGAGGGUUGAUUUUGCUUCUUAUCGAAGGAAUCAUCGAUUGUUUAUACUUGCUGAUGUUUAAUAUCCCACCCUCCACUCCCCUUAUUUUGCUUGUGUUCUCCUUUUUCUUUAUAAUUUCAGGUACAUCUUAUGUGUUCAAGUUCAGCCUACACCUUCCUUCCCUUCAGCCGUUACAGCUUCACAUGGAAUAUUGGCAGUUUUCACAUGUUGAUGUAUGGACAUGACAGUGUCUGUUUUCCAGAACUGUGAAAUGUGUAUGUGUCAUAUAUAAACGUUCCACCAGUAUAUCUUAACGUUGUGUAAUAAGAAGUUUGUUUGUUUCAAGUAUACUGUAU